AGUGAACGCUGGCGGUAGGCCUAACACAUGCAAGUCGAACGGCAGCACAGUAAGAGCUUGCUCUUACGGGUGGCGAGUGGCGGACGGGUGAGGAAUACAUCGGAAUCUACUUUUUCGUGGGGGAUAACGUAGGGAAACUUACGCUAAUACCGCAUACGUCCUACGGGUGAAAGCAGGGGAUCUUCGGACCUUGCGCGAUUGAAUGAGCCGAUGUCGGAUUAGCUAGUUGGCGGGGUAAAGGCCCACCAAGGCGACGAUCCGUAGCUGGUCUGAGAGGAUGAUCAGCCACACUGGAACUGAGACACGGUCCAGACUCCUACGGGAGGCAGCAGUGGGGAAUAUUGGGCAAUGGGCGCAAGCCUGAUCCAGCCAUGCCGCGUGGGUGAAGAAGGCCUUCGGGUUGUAAAGCCCUUUUGUUGGGAAAGAAAAGCAGCAGGUUAAUACCCCGCUGUUCUGACGGUACCCAAAGAAUAAGCACCGGCUAACUUCGUG
rnacentral:rRNA from 1 species